rnacentral:rRNA from 1 species
GAUGAACGCUGGCGGCGUGCCUAAUACAUGCAAGUCGAGCGAACGGACGAGAAGCUUGCUUCUCUGAUGUUAGCGGCGGACGGGUGAGUAACACGUGGAUAACCUACCUAUAAGACUGGGAUAACUUCGGGAAACCGGAGCUAAUACCGGAUAAUAUUUUGAACCGCAUGGUUCAAAAGUGAAAGACGGUCUUGCUGUCACUUAUAGAUGGAUCCGCGCUGCAUUAGCUAGUUGGUAAGGUAACGGCUUACCAAGGCAACGAUGCAUAGCCGACCUGAGAGGGUGAUCGGCCACACUGGAACUGAGACACGGUCCAGACUCCUACGGGAGGCAGCAGUAGGGAAUCUUCCGCAAUGGGCGAAAGCCUGACGGAGCAACGCCGCGUGAGUGAUGAAGGUCUUCGGAUCGUAAAACUCUGUUAUUAGGGAAGAACAUAUGUGUAAGUAACUGUGCACAUCUUGACGGUACCUAAUCAGAAAGCCACGGCUAACUACGUGCCAGCAGCCGCGGUAAUACGUAGGUGGCAAGCGUUAUCCGGAAUUAUUGGGCGUAAAGCGCGCGUAGGCGGUUUUUUAAGUCUGAUGUGAAAGCCCACGGCUCAACCGUGGAGGGUCAUUGGAAACUGGAAAACUUGAGUGCAGAAGAGGAAAGUGGAAUUCCAUGUGUAGCGGUGAAAUGCGCAGAGAUAUGGAGGAACACCAGUGGCGAAGGCGACUUUCUGGUCUGUAACUGACGCUGAUGUGCGAAAGCGUGGGGAUCAAACAGGAUUAGAUACCCUGGUAGUCCACGCCGUAAACGAUGAGUGCUAGGUGUUAGGGGGUUCCGCCCCUUAGUGCUGCAGCUAACGCAUUAAGCACUCCGCCUGGGGAGUACGACCGCAAGGUUGAAACUCAAAGGAAUUGACGGGGACCCGCACAAGCGGUGGAGCAUGUGGUUUAAUUCGAAGCAACGCGAAGAACCUUACCAAAUCUUGACAUCCUUUGACAACUCUAGAGAUAGAGCUUUCCCCUUCGGGGGACAAAGUGACAGGUGGUGCAUGGUUGUCGUCAGCUCGUGUCGUGAGAUGUUGGGUUAAGUCCCGCAACGAGCGCAACCCUUAAGCUUAGUUGCCAUCAUUAAGUUGGGCACUCUAAGUUGACUGCCGGUGACAAACCGGAGGAAGGUGGGGAUGACGUCAAAUCAUCAUGCCCCUUAUGAUUUGGGCUACACACGUGCUACAAUGGACAAUACAAAGGGCAGCGAAACCGUGAGGUCAAGCAAAUCCCAUAAAUUUGUUCUCAGUUCGGAUUGUAGUCUGCAACUCGACUACAUGAAGCUGGAAUCGCUAGUAAUCGUAGAUCAGCAUGCUACGGUGAAUACGUUCCCGGGCCU